rnacentral:misc_RNA from 1 species
CUUCCACAGCGAUAUCACUAAAUAUUACUAGAACUUCUUCCUCGACGUCUCUCAAUUUAUUUUUUAACCUUUCGCAAAUCGUACGUUGCCCAUCGCGAGUGAAUGAAGGACUUUUUUUUUGCUUUUUCGAAAAAUGUGCUUGUGGUGAUUUUCGGUGAGCGUUUGAGAACUAUGUUCGCAAAGUUUUCUCCAAUUUUCGCUCGAACAGUCGAACAGUGAUAUGUGCAGAAGAUUAUGCGAAAACGUGUCGAUGGUGACGGUGAUCGCAAUGAAAGUCAAUAAACUGUGAUGGAUAAGAGAGAGUAACAGUCGGAGUGGUAUUAAUAAAUUAGUGUCUAGUUGCUACAAGCAACGACAGUGCAAACGGCAACAGUAGCAUCAACAGAAGCCGAAGAAAUAAAAAAUUGAAGACACGAAAGCGGUCACGAUGACGGGGACCAUGAUGGACGGCCAUAAACACUGGAUUCUUUCUUUCGUGAGCUGUCGGAGAAUUUAACACUCUGAAGAUCAUCGCAAGAGCGAAUUCGAAGCGAAUCGUGUAGAGAAUCGGUGACCGGGUGGCAAUCGUGUACGAGGAUGAAGGCAGCGUAGAAAAGGGUCGUUUGCGACCGUGGAGGAGAGAAGAAGGUGGUUGAAGACACAACGAGAGAAUCGCGCAAAGAAGAGGAGGAGACGUGACGUGACGUGACGGUGCAUGGCGGCGUGUGCACACGCGUGUCGCUCGUGUGGGAUCGGAUUAUCGUUGUGUGCCAGUGCGAAAGAAGACAAUUGACUCGUAGCCGCCGCCGUCGUGCUUGCCGGGGGCCUUCUGACGUCACAUCCUGUCCUCUUGGGCUAGUCGCGAUCUCGUUUGGACCACGGCACAUCAAGGGAAACAAGAACGAUGAGCGACCACAAAAAAUGGAUCUUCAAGAUCCUCUUCUGGAUGAAUAUCUACACAACGAUUUUAGCAAACUUAACGGACUCCUCAGAAAUCGAUCUGUCCGAUGAAAUGGAUUUAUUUACCACCACGAAGAGAACGUUUCCCGACAGGUGUCUCGUUAAAACUGAACCAGGCCCGUGCAAACAGUACGUUCACAAGUGGUGGUUCAACAAGACUGAAGGAAAAUGUAGAACUUUUCCUUACGGUGGCUGUCUGGGAAACGAGAAUCGUUUCAACUCGGAAGCUGAGUGUCUUCAUUAUUGCGUGGGUGGUCCGGAACAUACUUUGCCACCAUAUUUAGUGACAAAGGGAAGCGUAUUUGUGACGAGCACAGCAACCACAAACACACUGCCUGCAACCACCGCCAUUACGCCACGGCCGACGUUCGCGCCGCCUGAACCAACAAAACCACCUGUGCCAAAGUACAAAAGAGGAAAGGAGCUAACCUUUAUGGAGUCAGGGUAUGAAAAGACCUUUAUGUUCGCGCAGAGCAACACGUUCAUUCAGCUUGAUGGUAGUGGUAUCAAACCGUUUCAACUUAGGCUAUGUCGUGAAAUAUCCUUCAAAUUCCGAACAAAAUUACCGCACGGUCUGCUAGUAUACCACAGCGUGAAGGAUCGCCCAGAAAGUUUAGACCCGUACGCAUUAUACGUGAUCGUCGAAAAAGGGCAACUAAAAGUGGUCCACGUGUUCGGAAAACGGUCAACGAGUUUGACAGUCGGAGAAGGAUUGAAUAGAGACGAAUGGCACAGUGUUCUGGUGAGAAUUGACGUACAUGGAGCGAAAUUGAUUGCUAGAGUGGAUGAUAAACAGGAAGAGACGACGUUGGAGGUUCUGGAACACGUGGUUAAUUAUGGGGUUUCUGAGGAACUUGCUUCUGUCGUCCUUAUUGGAGGUUUAAGUUCCGAGGAACGAUUACAUGGCGUGAAGUACAUAAUAGAAUCCUUCGUGGGUUGCAUAAGAGAUAUGGUUCUUAGUUCAGGGAAAUCAGCGAGUGAUUUAUUGCCGAUUCAGCCAUUGAUUGCGACGAAACACGAAAACGUGAAGGAAGGCUGCAUAGAUAAGUGCAGAACGCGAGAGAACCUUUGCUUCAUCUCGAACCAGUGUGUAAAUCACUAUAACAGUUUAACUUGCGACUGCUUCGGAACCAAGUAUGAAGGCGAACGUUGUGACGUGUAUACGGCCACCAUUUUGACGUUGAGAGGAUCCUCGUACGUUUCCUUCCGGGUUUACGAUUGGAAGGACAGAGUCCACUCUUCGGUCAACAGGAUAAGUCUUGCAUUCAAGACAAAAUGGGACGACUCAGCCCUGUUCUACGCAUCCGGAGAAAUCGAUGGAACCCCCCAUUACGUAGCAGCCUCCAUAAUGAAUGGAUCUGUCCACGUAGAAUUAGAUUUUGGACACAACUCGAAAAUAGCCACUGUUCUCGGUGAUUACGUGACUUCGAACCAUUGGAACAAUUUAACAAUAUUUCAUAAUGGAUCUCUGGUUUUUGUGAGCUUGGACGACGAGAUAAAGGUGUUGGAGGUUCCUGGAGAGAAUUAUAAUAUGAUUAUUGAUCCGGAGAUUUAUAUUGGGGGAGGACCGGAGCUGCACAAGAAGAAGGGACUUCUUUCGUAUAAUAACUUUGCAGGUUCCUUAAAGUAUGUUUUCUUUAACGACAAAUCAAUCAUCUACGAACUGAAGAGAUCCAACCCCAUGGUGCACUACAUAGGGGUGCUAGAACCAGAGUACUACGAAGCGGACGUUGAUGUGAUUCCUAUAACAUACCCGUUUGCUGGCAGCCACAUAUGGUGGCCUAUAGCUCGGACCGACUCUCUCAAAUUGAAUUUCGAUUUCAAAAGCUCGAAACCUGUAGCUGUGGUUGCGUCGGGAGACGUGAAGAGCAAUCAUGGACUUGGGUAUUGGGAGCUACGUCUAGUGAACGACGAGAUCCGAUUUCAACUGAUUCCCAUAUUAACCGAGAACGUCACCGUCUCAGCAGCCGUGAAAUUCCCGUACAACACGUCUUGGCACGCAGUCGAAUUGAAUUACACGAAGGGCGAGUUGAGCAUCCUCGUCGAUUACAGGAACAAACAGAGCAAACUGUUCUCCAUGACGUUCGAGUUAGGUGACAAAGUCAUCAUCGGAAGUGGCAAAAGCAACGCGGGUUUGGUUGGAUGCAUGAGAGAGAUACAAGUGAACGACGAGAGGAUAGAGCCCAGAUACGUGGUCAACACCGAGAGAGUGAUCGGAGAAGUGGCUUUGGACAACUGCCAGUUCGUUGAUCCUUGUACUAGGCCGAACACGUGCGAACAUGGGGGGAAAUGCUCGGUGAAGGAGGACAGAAUCACUUGCGAUUGUACUGAUACUGGUUAUAUUGGCAAGAAUUGUCACUUUGCUCAAUACAGGAAGACAUGUGAGGAGCUAGCACUGUUAGGAUACACCCAAGACGACGUCUACAAAAUCGAUAUUGACGGGAACGGAAGAUUUCCACCAGCUCUAGUGAAAUGCGAGUUCCAGUCCAUUGAAGACUCCACCAAAACUAUAGUGGAGCAUAAUUUGCCGUCUCAAGUAGACGUCAGAUCUAUAGCAGAGUCUGAUUUUUCAUUCAACAUCAAGUAUAGACAGUUUACGGCUGAGAUGCUGCAGGAGCUGAUCUCACACUCGUUGUAUUGUAGCCAGUAUGUCAAGUAUGAUUGCUAUAAGGCACCUUUGGAACUGCAUAGUGCUACGUGGUUUCUUAGCUCGAAAGGGACUACUGUGGAUUAUAUUGGAAAUGUUAAUAGAGGAUCCUGUCCUUGUGGAAUGAACAGAACAUGUGUUGAUCCAAACCUAAGCUGCAACUGUGACGUCUCCGCCGGAAAUGCUGGCAAGUGGUUAUCCGACGAAGGUUACUACGAAACUCCAGACUCCCUAGGAAUUACAGGAAUGGUCUUCUUGCAACAAAGAGACCUUGAAGAGGAUGCACAGGGCAGAAUUACCUUGGGUCCGCUAGAAUGUGUCGAAACAAAUACCCAGAAGUAUGUGGUGACAUUCACAACAUCACAGUCCUACAUCGAAGUACCAGGCUGGAGAAAAGGAGACAUUGCAUUCAGCUUUCGAACAACAGGAGAGAAAGCAAUCUUGCUGUAUCAACCACCUAUCAGAAGCAACUAUCCUUCCUUUAUGGUUGCUCUAACUUCUGAGUACCGUUUGACGUUUAAUUUUACCUUGAACACUGGUACCAUCAGGGAACUGGAAGUGAAGAGUAGAAGAAAGUUGAAUAAUGGAGAGUGGCAGAAGAUUUGGAUCGAUUAUAAUGACUAUCAUGUUAGAUUCAUGAUUAAUACAGACUUUCAGAUGGUGGAUUUGUUACCGGAAGAGGAAUUUGGUCCUUUUGAGGGGUCUAUGUUCAUUGGAGGCGCUACUGCAGAGCAUCUAAGAACAUCCUCAGUUCGCCAAGGACUCAUAGGCUGCUUCCGGGGCCUCGUCGUAAACGGCGAGAUACUGGACAUCCACAGCUACAUGUCCGUCCACCUAUCUGAGAUAAUAAAAGAUUGCAAACCUUCAUGUCAGCCAAACAAAUGUCAAAAUGGCGCCAGGUGCGUGGAACUGUGGAGCAACUUCGAGUGCGUCUGCGAGAACCGGUGGGCUCAUCUUGGCACUUAUUGCGAAAGAAAUAUAAACAACAAGGCACUGACGUUCACCUCGCCAGGUGCAUUCUUGAAGAAGAAUUAUUUUGGUACUGAUGAAGAGGACCAAGAGAAGUUAUUGCUGAAGAGGAUACUUCUACAGAAUAUACUGAUCAACCUCAGAACUUAUGACACUCAUUCGCUGAUCUUGUAUGCUAAUGAUCAUUUGAACAACUUUGCUCAUCUUUAUAUUUCCAAUGGCACUAGUAUCGUUUACUUGUUCAAUGCUGGGAAUGAGAUUAAGAAUAUCACUGUUGAGUAUCCAGGUGUGAAUACAGGAAUAUCAGUGCAAAUCGCCAUCAUCCGCACAGAGAAGUCCACAACGCUCCACGUGAACGAGUACAACCUCACUCUCAACGCCACACCAGUCUUACUAGACACGUACUCGAACAAGCCUUGGAUAAACCCAGAGAAGGAGGUGCUAGCACCGCAGAGGCCACCCGCACCACCCACCAACUACUUCCAGGUGAAUCUAGGAGGCUUCGACCCGGACGAUCUUCUGAGGGUGGGCAAGGAGGGCGCCCUUAUACAGGGCUACGUGGGUUGCUUGCGUGGUCUGAUGAUCGGGGAGUAUCUCGUCGAUCUACCGAGUCUUGCUAACGAGGCCAACCACGAGGGCAGCAAAGGAGUGCUGCCUAAUUGCCAGAUGAAGUGCGAUGCUAUGCCUUGCAAGAAUCUGGGGAUCUGCACGGAGGACUUUGGGAGGCAGGAGUCGUCGUGCAAUUGUGAGCUGACGUCGUAUUUUGGGGAACAUUGUGCUGAUGAAAAGGGAGCAGACUUCAGCGGAGAGAGUGUCUUACAACGCGAAUUUGACUUAGUGGGUGAAGUGAGUCAAGUCAAAGUUCAACUAGCAUUUUCCACCAAUGAACUCCGACAACGCACGACAGCGCUCUUACUCUUGCAAACAGAGAACAAAAGAAGCUACUACUUGCUGGUCGCCUUAACGUCUGAAGGGCAGUUGAUUUUCGAGGAGGACAGAGAAGGAUCGGCUUAUGGUGUGCGUCUUAAUGAUAGGAACUUUCUCAAUGGUGCUCGGCAUAGUGUGUAUUAUGUUCGGGAUAACAACACUGCUACAUUGUUGAUCGAUCGAGAGCCCGUGCAGCUAUUACCCAUCCCCGUCCUAAACCUAGGAGACGACGAAGACGAAAGUCCCGGAGUAACCGAGAUCCAACUAGGCGGUCUGAACACAACGGACUCGAGAUUCAGCGCGUACAAAGGAUACACCGGAUGUCUGAGCAACGUCGUGGUAUCGAUCAACGGGGGACCUGGCAUGAAGCCACUCGAGGAAUAUAUGCUCUUUACGAAACAGGGCAGCGAAACUGUCCGAGCCACGAUACCUGCUGGGGUCAGGAGCGCACAGUGCGCCGUCUUCCACGCUCAACCACGUGGCCUCGACCCACCUAGAAACGAUAGUGUGGGUCGUGACAGAGCAUGGGUGGAGGACCCACCCGAAAGAAUUCUGUACAAAUCCCAAUACUCGGACGCGACCCAAGAAGAACAAGGUGCCGGUACUUACAUCUUCAUCGCCUUAUGCUGCGUCUUCGUGACCGCAGUAAUCGGUUGCAUUUACGAAGUCUGGAGAAGUGCAAGAAAAGAUCGACGACGUAGACGAGCAGCAAACGUUAGUGGUUCGACCACUGUGACACCUUCCGGUUCGCAAAGAUGGCAAGCGCCACAGUAUACUGACACGAUAGCCAGCGGUGUGAAGACAGUGGGUUUCAAGAACGUGGAAGACGAGAAAAGACCUAAUGGCACACACGUGAAACCCAUUGGCAAGGAAUAUAAACCGCUGACCAACGCGGAGAAUAAAGACUUGGUUAACGAUAAAAGGGUUCAUAUAAAAGCAGAUGAAGAACCAGAGAAGAAGGAGCUCCUAGGGGUAAAUACAGGCAUCAUCACUAAACCUCCGAAACCAAAUCCAUUCUCAAUGGAAGAUUUGCAAGAAGAACCAGAACUGGAGGAAUGCGAAGAAGAAGAGGAAGAAGAAGAAGACGACGAUUCUAAAAAAGAGAAUCAAAACGAAGAAGAAUCAGAUCAAUCGAAAACGGAGCUAAUCGACGACAAAGAUUUCGCGAAAUCGCCGGAUAAUUCACCUAGGAUAAGUGUUGAAUCGUUAAACAACAUUCCUGAACACGAUGACACGAAAACGCAGAACGAAAUAUAGAGGCGAAUGCUCGUAAUGGAAUUGAACAACGUUGGACGAUACACGAUUUGUCUUCAGAUUCCACAAGGCCUCUAGUUGUCAAUCUACAGCCCAUCUAUCUCUCGGACGACCGAAGAGCAUUUGGAAAUCCACUGAAUUAUCUCGGUGGCCGAAAAUUCCAACCAAAUAGAAAUUCCAUCGAAUCCAUAUUAUCCUUGGAUU